CUGCGAUAGUAAUUCAACCUAAUACGAGAGGAACCGUUGAUUCACACAAUUGGUCAUCGCGUUUGGUUAAAAAGUCAGUGGUGCAAAGCUAUCGUGUGUUGGAUUAUAACUGAAAGCCUCUAAGUCAGAAUCCAAGCUACCGUGG
rnacentral:ncRNA from 1 species